GGAGGGUUCGCUUAGAGAAGAUGUUGACCAGUUAUGUGAGAUGAUAGAAAGACUCAUUGCUGCCCAACAGACCCGGGAGGAAAGGAGGGAGCUACCUGACCCUCCUCCGCUGCCACAAGUUGAGCCACCCCUGCAGCAGGAGGAUCCUGAUCCACCCAGAUAUGACCCUGCUCCUCCACAGUACCACCCAGCACCAUCACAGUAUGAUCCGGUGCCCCAGCCACUGCAUCACCCGAAAUCACCAUAGUACAAUCUAGUGCCUUCACCGUAUCAUCAAGUACCACUGCAGGGCC
rnacentral:lncRNA from 1 species